UAUAUAUAUAUAUCUUUUUCUUCUUUGAUUCGGUUCUAUGAAUGAAGAUUUUGUAUAGAGAAAUAGUUAGUUCAUAAACCCUAGAAAGCAGAGUGAAUUGACAUUUUUGUUGCUUCCGCGCGGCUGCAUUUCACAUCCUUCCCCUAAGCGCCAUGGUUUUUCCUUUCUUCAUAUGCAUAUGUUUCUUCAGAUUAGAUAUACGUUCAGAUUUUGUUUAUAUAUUGAAUUGUUUUUGUUCUUAUAUGACUUGGAAUGAGUGUGAACACUUUAAUGGAUGCAGGCAUAAGAGAAGAAGCUUGCGAACCCUAUGAGGGAAAUCAAAGUGCAGAAGCUUGUCCUCAACAUCUCCGUUGGCGAGAGUGGCGAUCGUCUCAUCAAAGAGGUGUUUGAUGGAUAAAUCAAAGUGCAGAAGCUCCAUCCCUCGAUAGAUAAAUCGUCUUCCUCAAAUUGUCUCUACAAAUCAAAGUAUUCUAGAUUUGGAGAUGGCAACCAAAUUAAGAUGGUGUGCUUUCUCUGUAAUACAAAUUCUGGGAACUAUUGCAGUGAUGUCUCAGGUGGCAUGGCAAGUUUUCGCCAUUUUCAUUCCGGUAACUGCAGUCUGCAUAUGGUAUCAAGUAUGUCAUCCUUUCUCUCCUCCUUCAUAUUCCUAUGUCAUUAUCAUUACUAGUUAAAACAACAUUGAUUGUUGCAAUCUUUGUGAAGCACAUUAUCAAGGUUUAGUUAUUAUGAAAGUCUAUAGUUCACUCAAUUUUCAAUUCAGUCUCUAUGUGGAGGAAAAGGAAGAAAAAUGAAAGUAUAUGAAAUGACUUGGUGGUAUGGAAGACAAGGUGCUAAACUAUAGCUAUGCAAAUUUUGUGUCCAUGCUUUGGAAGCAAGAGCAAACAGAUAUUAGUUAGUUUUAGUGACCUUUAUUUAUGUGUUCAGCCACUUUUUUCCCUCUUAAUAUACCAUACUUGUAAGCUAGUAGUUCUCUUCUCCUUAUUUCAGUAUUUUUAUAUGUAUAGUUUCAUAAUUACCACACAUAACGGGAAAAAGUUUAGAAGUUGUUUUGUUAUUUAAUUUUACAUGUAUUUUAGUUUUUUUAUAUGUAUAGUUUUCUUCUUGUGAAUC